UACGUAGGGUGCAAGCGUUGUCCGGAAUUAUUGGGCGUAAAGAGCUCGUAGGCGGUCUGUCGCGUCUGCUGUGAAAACUCAGGGCUUAACCCUGAGCUUGCAGUGGGUACGGGCAGACUAGAGUGCGGUAGGGGGAGACUGGAAUUCCUGGUGUAGCGGUGAAAUGCGCAGAUAUCAGGAGGAACACCGGUGGCGAAGGCGGGUCUCUGGGCCGUAACUGACGCUGGAGACGCGAAAGCGUGGGGAGCGAACAGG
rnacentral:rRNA from 1 species